rnacentral:rRNA from 1 species
UACGAAGGGGGCUAGCGUUGCUCGGAAUGACUGGGCGUAAAGGGCGCGUAGGCGGUUUGAUUAGUUAGGCGUGAAAUUCCCGGGCUCAACCUGGGAACUGCGUUUAAUACAGUCAGACUUGAGUUCGGAAGAGGGUCGUGGAAUUCCCAGUGUAGAGGUGAAAUUCGUAGAUAUUCGGAAGAACACCAGUGGCGAAGGCGACUCGCUGGACAGGUAUUGACGCUGAGGUGCGAAAGCGUGGGGAGCAAACAGG